UGCCAGUGCACGGAAGCUUGCUUCAGGGUU
rnacentral:piRNA from 1 species